rnacentral:rRNA from 1 species
GAUGAACGCUGGCGGCGUGCCUAAUACAUGCAAGUCGAGCGAACAGAUGAGGAGCUUGCUCCUCUGACGUUAGCGGCGGACGGGUGAGUAACACGUGUAUAACCUACCUAUAAGACUGGGAUAACUUCGGGAAACCGGAGCUAAUAGCGGAGAAUAUAUUGAACCGCAUGGUUCAAUAGUGAAAGACGGUUUUGCUGUCACUUAUAGAUGGAUCCGCGCCGCAUUAGCUAGUUGGUAAGGUAACGGCUUACCAAGGCAACGAUGCGUAGCCGAACUGAGAGGGUGAUCGGCCACCCUGGAACUGAGACACGGUCCAGACUCCUACGGGAGGCAGCAGUAGGGAAUGUUCCGCAAUGGGCGAAAGCCUGACGGAGCAACGCCGAGUGAGUGAUGAAGGUCUUCGGAUCGUAAAACUCUGUUAUUAGGGAAGAACAAAUGUGUAAGUAACUAUGCACGUAUUGACGGUACCUAAUCAGAAAGCCACGGCUAACUACGUG